rnacentral:rRNA from 1 species
AGUGAACGCUGGCGGUAGGCCUAACACAUGCAAGUCGAACGGCAGCACAGUAAGAUCUUGCUCUUACGGGUGGCGAGUGGCGGACGGGUGAGGAAUACAUCGGAAUCUACUUUUUCGUGGGGGAUAACGUAGGUAAACUUACGCUAAUACAGCAUACGACCUACGGGUGAAAGCAGGGGAUGUUCGGACCUUGCGCGAUUGAAUGAGCCGAUUUCGGAUUAGCUAGUUGGCGGGGUAAAGGCCCACCAAGUCGACGGUCCUUAGCGGGUCUGAGAGGAUGGUCAGCCCCACUGGACCUUCGACACGGUCCAGACUCCUACGGGAGGCACCAGUGGGGAAUAUUGGACAAUGGGCGCAAGCCUGAUACAGCGAUACCGCGUGGGUGAAGGAGGCCUUCGGGUUGUAAAGCCCUUUUGUUGGGAAAGAAAAGCAGCAGGUUAAUACCCCGCUGUUCUGACGGUACCCAAAGAAUAAGCACCGGCUAACUUCGUG